rnacentral:rRNA from 1 species
UAAUACGGAGGGUGCAAGCGUUAUCCGGAUUCACUGGGUUUAAAGGGUGCGUAGGUGGGUUGGUAAGUCCGUGGUGAAAUCUCCGAGCUUAACUCGGAAACUGCCGUGGAUACUAUCAAUCUUGAAUACUGUGGAGGUAAGCGGAAUAUGUCAUGUAGCGGUGAAAUGCUUAGAUAUGACAUAGAACACCGAUAGCGAAGGCAGCUUGCUACACAGUUAUUGACACUGAGGCACGAAAGCGUGGGGAGCAAACAGGAUUAGAUACCCUGGUAGUCCACGCCCUAAACGAUGAUUACUCGACAUACGCGAUACACUGUGUGUGUCUGAGCGAAAGCAUUAAGUAAUCCACCUGGGAAGUACGACCGCAAGGUUG